rnacentral:rRNA from 1 species
AUUGAACGCUGGCGGCAGGCCUAACACAUGCAAGUCGAGCGGAGCGGCGGACGGGUGAGUAAUGCCUAGGAAUCUGCCUGGUAGUGGGGGAUAACGUCCGGAAACGGGCGCUUAUACCGCAUACUAUCAGAUGAGCCUAGGUCGGAUGAGCUAGUUGGUGGGGUAAAGGCCUACCAAGGCGACGAUCCGUAACUGGUCUGAGAGGAUGAUCAGUCACACUGGGACUGAGACACGGACCACGAUCCGACGGGAGGCGGCAGUCGGGAUUCUUUGACAAUGGGCGCAAUCCUGAUCCAGCCAUGCCGCGUGGGUGAAGAAGGUGCUCGGAUGGUAAAGCACUUUAAGUAGGGAGGCGUUACCGACAGAGUAAGCACCGGCUUACUCCGUGCCAGCAGCCGCGGUAAUUC